rnacentral:rRNA from 1 species
UUAGAGUUUGAUCCUGGCUCAGGAUGAACGCUAGCGGCAGGCUUAACACAUGCAAGUCGAGGGGCAGCGAGAUCAGUGCUUGCACUGAUUGUCGGCGACCGGCGCACGGGUGCGUAACGCGCAUGCAACCUACCCAUUACAGGGGGAUAACACUGAGAAAUCGGUACUAAUACCCCAUAACAUCCAGGGAGGCAUCUUCUUGGGUUGAAAACUCCGGUGGUAAUGGAUGGGCAUGCGUUGUAUUAGUUAGUUGGUGGGGUAACGGCUCACCAAGACAACGAUACAUAGGGGGACUGAGAGGUUAACCCCCCACAUUGGUACUGAGACACGGACCAAACUCCUACGGGAGGCAGCAGUGAGGAAUAUUGGUCAAUGGACGCAAGUCUGAACCAGCCAUGCCGCGUGCAGGAAGACGGCUCUAUGAGUUGUAAACUGCUUUUGUACGAGGGUAAACGCAGAUACGCGUAUCUGUCUGAAAGUAUCGUACGAAUAAGGAUCGGCUAACUCCGUGCCAGCAGCCGCGGUAAUACGGAGGAUUCAAGCGUUAUCCGGAUUUAUUGGGUUUAAAGGGUGCGUAGGCGGUCGGAUAAGUUAGAGGUGAAAUCCCGGGGCUCAACUUCGGAAUUGCCUCUGAUACUGUUCGGCUAGAGAGUAGUUGCGGUAGGCGGAAUGUAUGGUGUAGCGGUGAAAUGCUUAGAGAUCAUACAGAACACCGAUUGCGAAGGCAGCUUACCAAGCUACUUCUGACGUUGAGGCACGAAAGCGUGGGGAGCAAACAGGAUUAGAUACCCUGGUAGUCCACGCAGUAAACCAUGAAAACUCGUUGGUCGGCGAUACAGUGGUCGGGAAUAAGCGA